GUGUCAGCAGCCGCGGUAAUACAGAGGGUGCGAGCGUUGUUCGGAAUUACUGGGCGUAAAGCGCGCGCAGGCGGCCCUUUAAGUCCGUCGGUCAAAUGCCGGGGCUCAACCCCGUUGCAUGCCGAGGAUACUGGAGGGCUGGAGACACGUAGAGGCAAGCGGAAUUCCGGGUGUAGCGGUGGAAUGCGUAGAGAUCCGGAAGAACACCGGAGGCGAAGGCGGCUUGCUGGGCGUGAUCUGACGCUGAGGCGCGAAAGCGUGGGGAGCGAACAGGAUUAGAAACCCUCGUAGUCC
rnacentral:rRNA from 1 species